rnacentral:rRNA from 1 species
UCGGGAAUUUUGGGCAAUGGGCGAAAGCCUGACCCAGCAACGCCGCGUGAAGGAUGAAGUAUUUCGGUAUGUAAACUUCGUAAGAAUAGGAAGAAUAAAUGACGGUACUAUUUGUAAGGUCCGGCUAACUACGUGCCAGCAGCCGCGGUAAUACGUAGGGACCAAGCGUUGUUCGGAUUUACUGGGCGUAAAGGGCGCGUAGGCGGCUUGACAAGUCACUUGUGAAAUCUCUGGGCUUAACCCAGAACGGCCAAGUGAAACUGUCAUGCUAGAGUGCAGAAGGGGCAAUCGGAAUUCUUGGUGUAGCGGUGAAAUGCGUAGAUAUCAAGAGGAACACCUGAGGUGAAGACGGGUUGCUGGGCUGACACUGACGCUGAGGCGCGAAAGCCAGGGGAGCAAACAGGAUUAGAUACCCGGGUAGUCCCUGAGCGGGCUGGCAAGGCGCAU